rnacentral:rRNA from 1 species
GAUGAACGCUAGCUCCAGGCUUAACACAUGCAAGUCGAGGGACCGGCGCACGGGUGAUUAACACGUAUCCAACCUGCCCUUUACUCGGGGAUAGCCUUUCGAAAGAAAGAUUAAUACCCGAUAUAAAGGAUGGGGAUGCGUUCCAUUAGGUUGUUGGUGAGGUAACGGCUCACCAAGCCUUCGAUGGAUAGGGGUUCUGAGAGGAAGGGCGCCCAAAUUGGAACUGGGACGCGGUCCAGACUCGUACGAGAGGAGGGAGUGAGGAAUAUUGGUCAGUGGGCGCUAGCCUGAACCAGCCGAGGAGCGUGAAGGAUGAAGGCUUAUGGGUCGUGAACUGCUGUUAUAUAGGAAUAUGUAUUGUAUGAAUAAGGAUCGGCUAACUCCGUGCCAGCAGCCGCGGUAAUUC